CCUACGGGAGACAGCAGUCGAGAAUCAUUCACAAUGGGGGAAACCCUGAUGGUGCGACGCCGCGUGGGGGAAUGAAGGUCUUCGGAUUGUAAACCCCUGUCAUGUGGGAGCAAAUUAAAAAGAUAGUACCACAAGAGGAAGAGACGGCUAACUCUGUGCCAGCAGCCGCGGUAAUACAGAGGUCUCAAGCGUUGUUCGGAAUCACUGGGCGUAAAGCGUGCGUAGGCUGUUUCGUAAGUCGUGUGUGAAAGGCGCGGGCUCAACCCGCGGACGGCACAUGAUACUGCGAGACUAGAGUAAUGGAGGGGGAACCGGAAUUCUCGGUGUAGCAGUGAAAUGCGUAGAUAUCGAGAGGAACACUCGUGGCGAAGGCGGGUUCCUGGACAUUAACUGACGCUGAGGCACGAAAGCCAGGGGAGCGAAAAGGAUUAGAUACCCCUGUAGUC
rnacentral:rRNA from 1 species